AGCCCCAAGAUGAGUCAUCCCUUGGACUUUAAGUCCACUAAAGAGCCGUUCGAGACUAGGACGUUGAUAGGUCAGGUGUGUAAGCGUUGUGAGGCGUUGAGCUAACUGAUACUAAUGACUCGAGAGGCUUAACCAU
rnacentral:ncRNA from 1 species